GAUGAAGAACGCAGCGAAAUGCGAUAAGUAAUGUGAAUUGCAGAAUUCAGUGAAUCAUCGAAUCUUUGAACGCACAUUGCGCCCUCUGGUAUUCCAGGGGGCAUGCCUGUUCGAGCGUCAUUAUAACCACUCAAGCUCUCGCUUGGUAUUGGGGCUCGCGGUUCCGCGGCCCCUAAAAUCAGUGGCGGUGCCUGUCGGCUCUACGCGUAGUAAUACUCCUCGCGAUUGAGUCCGGUAGGUCUACUUGCCAGCAACCCCCAAUUUUUACAGGUUGACCUCGGAUCAGGUAGGGAUACCCGCUGAACUUAAGCAUAUCAAUAAGCGGAGGA
rnacentral:misc_RNA from 1 species